AUUUCUUUCAAAUUUUAGAGGAGAAGUGCUCAAGCAGUUUGAUUUUUGUCUUUCCCCUAUCCCUCCUGUCAAGUGGGGUCAGAUUGUCAUUGUCUCAUCUCCUUCAUUUCCUUUCCCCUCCCCUCCCCUCGUGCUCCUUUCCCGUCGCGAGCAGGGAGCCGCCGCCGGCGCACUCAUGUUGUGGCCAGCAGGGUGAGCCGCCAUCGGCGCCCUCUUGUUGUGGCCAGCGGGGCCAGGCGCGCGCGGUUUGCUCCCGCCCAUCGGCACCUGGUGACGACGGCCAGCGCCAGCAGCGCGCUGCAGAGCAGGGCCGGGCCGCCCUUCCUGCGCCGCAACGCGCCAGCGCGCCAGCGCCCGGUUCGGCAGCGGGCCAGUGCCGGUCCCGGUGCUGUUGUGCUCUCGGUCGAGUUGGAGCCUCCCGCCAUGGAGCUGCAGCGCGUGCCAAGAAAACAGAGCCAUGUUAGAUUGUGUUCCAUUCCAACCAUACGUUGGCAGAACAGAGUUGCAGAGGAUCAGAGAUUCAAAGAGUGCUCAGCCUCACCUUCCCGCGAAAGAGGCCAGUUGAGCCGGUCACGGUGCUGUUGUGCUGCUGCUGUGCUCCCGGCGCCGCAAGCCACCUCUGGAGCUCCUACUGCAGAUUCUGUGCUGCAAAAUGGAGAUGGACUCAUUGCUCCUGAGGUUGCUUGAAGAUGACUCGUCAUCGGAUGACGACUAUGAUGUGGCGGCUAUAAUGCUCGCUGAUCUUGCAAAGAACGAGCAGCCCAAACAUGGUGGUUCUGUGCAAGGGCAUGAGGUGGUUCGUCGAAACAAGCAGAAAGGAGAUGCAAAGCUCUUUGAUGACUACUUUGCAGAAGAACCUGUGUUUUGUCCGGUCACAUUCAGACGGCGAUUUAGAAUGUCAGUUCUGUUGACAUUUGUGCCAGUUCUGUCCUUCAGAGGAAUUUAGCAUUGUUGUUAGUUUGAAAGUGGUUUCAGUUUUUUUAGUCCUUCAGGUUAGCAGGACAAUAAUUGUAUGACAGUGAUGGGAAAAAAAAUCCUGGCAUGUAGAGGGGAUUCAGGAUUCCUAGUUGAUUCAUUUUAUUUGAUUGUAAAUGUGCCCUCCCAAGUGGUAUGGCAGUGAGUGGCAACACCUGUCAGUGAGCUUUCAGUUCAGCUGGAAAACAAUUCCACCUUAGACCAGCAAGAUAUGUACUUUGUCUUGAUCCAUUCAGAUGACACUAAUUGUAUGACUGAAUUACAUGUUCAGUUACAUGUUCCAGUAAAUAUUUCAGAUGUAA